CUGCCCUUUUACACAAACUCCAGAUGUCUGACUCCCUGAACCUGACCGUCCUAAUUAGCAGAGCCCUAAUCUUUCCUUGACCAUCUCCUGUUCAGAAGUAGAGAAGUUAUCCAUCAACAGUCCCUGCCUGGAAAGAGCUUGGCUUCUGCCCUCCACGUGGCAUGCGGAUUUCCUUUUAUCUAAGAGAAAACCUAGAGUCCACCAGGAAGGCUGAGUGCACACAGAGGCCGGACAGAUCAGCCAUCAUUACUCCCUCCCUGCCGCCUCCUGCCUGUCUUCUAUGCAUAGCUAGCUGUUUCCUAAGGAUCAGAAGAGGAGUUUCUCCCUUGUCUUUCUGAAAUCUCGUUCCUUUGUCUUGUUUGUGAUCAUUGAGGUUAUGAGCAUUGCACAGGAACUAAGAACAUACCUAACAUUGCACAAUGCUGGAAGUAAAUGAACAAGAAAGGACCCACACUUCCACUGAGACCAACAAAAGUCUGAGUAAGAAGACUUGUAUAUUGAGUUUAUAUUAAAAGGCUUAUGUUCUUUCUUAUGCAUUUUUUGUGGCAAGGGGUUUUCAACAAGACUUUAUUGGGUUUCUUCUGUCAGUUAAUAAUAAAUAGUUAACCUCCCAGUGUUUGAGUCCUCCU
rnacentral:lncRNA from 1 species